GGCUCCGUAGCUUGGAGGAAAGAAGCGCCUGUCUAGCAAAUUGGGAGUCGUAGGUUCGAUUCCCACCGGAGCAC
rnacentral:tRNA from 1 species